rnacentral:rRNA from 1 species
GACGAACGCUGGCGGCGUGCCUAACACAUGCAAGUCGAGCGGAGAUGAUGUGAGGAAGUUUUCGGAUGGAAUCACAUUAUUUUAGCGGCGGACGGGUGAGUAACGCGUGAGCGACCAACCUUGCACAGGGGGAUAACGGACCGAAAGGUUCACUAAUACCGCAUGAGACCACGGUGUUGCAUGACACAGAGGUCAAAGGAGCAAUCCGGUGCAAGACGGGCUCGCGUCCGAUUAGGUAGUUGGAGGGGUAACGGCCCACCAAGCCUAUGAUCGGUAGCCGACCUGAGAGGGUGAUCGGCCACAUUGGAACUGAGAUACGGUCCAAACUCCUACGGGAGGCAGCAGGUGGGGAAUAUUGGGCAAGUGGGGGAAACCCUGACCCAGCAACGCCGCGUGAAGGAAGAAGGUUUUCGGAUUGUAAACUUCUGUCCUUGGUGAAGAGAAGAAGACGGUAGCCAAGGAGGAAGCCCCGGCUAACUACGUGCCAGCAGCCGCGUAAACUAGUCUACG